rnacentral:rRNA from 1 species
GGUCCUCUUCUUUGAAGCUGGUGUACAGGUGGUGCAUGGUUGUCGUCAGCUCGUGUCGUGAGAUGUUGGGUUAAGUCCCGCAACGAGCGCAACCCUCGUUCUAUGUUGCCAGCAUGUGAUGGUGGGAACUCAUAGGAGACUGCCGGGGUCAACUCGGAGGAAGGUGGGGAUGACGUCAAAUCAUCAUGCCCUUUAUGUCUUGGGCUUCACGCAUGCUACAAUGGCUGGUACAGAGAGAGGCGAACCCGUGAGGGCAAGCGAAUCCCUUAAAGCCAGUCUCAGUUCGGAUCGUAGUCUGCAAUUCGACUACGUGAAGUCGGAGUCGCUAGUAAUCGCAGAUCAGCAACGCUGCGGUGAAUACGUUCCCGGGUCUUGUACACACCGA